UAUGAUCCACUGUGCCCAUCCUGGAUGCAGACUUUAAGCAGAGUCACAUCAACAAGAAGAGCUGUGAAGGUCAGGGCAUGACCCACAGAUGCCCAAACACUGCACUGGAGGUCCAGGAAGAUUCUGCUGACAACGCAACCCUGAGCCAAGAUCUGAAGGAUAAGAGGGAGCUUAUAACAUGGAAGAAGGAACAGUAUUCCUGGCAAGUGGAACAGCAUGUGCAAAGAUGAGGACAUGGGCCCAGAGAGGUUAUGUGAGUGACACAGCGGAGGGUUCCGAAAUGAGAAACUGUGGAAUCUAAGCUGGAGAGGAAGAAAGACGGAGAAUGAGUGAACGCACACGUGUGGGACAGAUAGAUGAAUAUUCAUGUCUU
rnacentral:lncRNA from 10 species